UAACUUUCAACAACGGAUCUCUUGGCUCUCACGUCGAUGAAGAACGCAGCGAAAUGCGAUAAGUAAUGUGAAUUGCAGAAUUCAGUGAAUCAUCGAAUCUUUGAACGCAGAUUGCGCCCUUUGGUAUUCCGAAGGGCAUGCCUGUUUGAGUGUCUU
rnacentral:rRNA from 1 species